rfam:Serinicoccus sp. JLT9, complete genome.
GUUCGACCCCCGGGGAGCGCCGAGAUGGCGCUGAGAGUGCGGAAGGCCCGCAGACCCGUCCACCUGAUCCGGUUCGUACCGGCGUAGGGAGCAGGGCACCCGCCGUCGU